UAUUAUUGAGUUAUUAAGCAGGGU
rnacentral:siRNA from 1 species